rnacentral:rRNA from 1 species
UACAGAGGGUGCAAGCGUUAAUCGGAUUUACUGGGCGUAAAGCGUGCGUAGGCGGUUCGCUAAGUCGGUUGUGAAAUCCCUGGGCUUAACCUGGGAACUGCAGUCGAUACUGGCGGACUAGAGUACGGUAGAGGGUGGCGGAACUCCGGGUGUAGCGGUGAAAUGCGUAGAUAUCCGGAAGAACACCGGUGGCGAAGGCGGCUUCCUGGACCGACACUGACGCUGAGGCGCGAAAGCUAGGGGAGCAAACGGG